AGAUAGAAACCGACCUGGCUCACACCGGUUUAAACUCAGAUCAUGUAAAAUUUUAAAGGUCGAACAGACCCAACCUACUAGCUACUGCACCAGUAAUUAAUUUUAAUCCAACAUCGAGGUCGCAAUCUUCUCUUUCGAUAAGAACUCUAAGAAAAAUUACGCUGUUAUCCCUAAGGUAAUUUAAUCUUUUAAUCCAAACAUCAGGAUCAUAAACCUAUACAUUAAUAUAUAAAUAUAGAAAAGUUAGAUAAAUUUUCCCAUCACCCCAACAAAAUAAAUAAAAAUAAAUUUAAGAUAAAAAUACCUAAAACCCAUAAGCACUUUUAAUUAUAAAACUCUAUAGGGUCUUCUCGUCUUCUAUAUAAAUCUAAGCUUUUUCACUUAAAAAUAAAAUUCUAAUUAAUUCAUCCAGAGACAGCUACUUUUUCAUCAAACCUUUCAUUCAAGCUUUCAAUUAAAAAACUAGUGAUUAUGCUACCUUUGCACAGUCAAAAUACCGCGGCCAUUUAAUAAUAUCAGUGGGCAGGUCAGACCUGAAAUAAUACUCAACAAGCCAUGUUUUUAAUAAACAGGCGA
rnacentral:rRNA from 1 species